UUUGGUGGCUUUCGUAGUAGAUACAGCAUCGAUUUGGCUGUGACAAGGAAAGCAUUCUCAUUAUAGCUCACAGAAUUUUUCUCUCCCUCAGCUCUACCUAUUUGUUGGUCAUAUCCAGCCUCAUUAAAGUAAGGCUUCUCAUUUAGGACAAGAGCCUGUAGUGAGAGAAGAACUUGAAGAAUAGUGGAGGUUCCAGGAUUCCACACUUCAGAGCCUGCGCCUGUCCAAGUAUUUAGGAGACUCAGACAGAUUUUCCCUGAUUCAUAUAAAUUAGGAUUUAAGCGGAGCCCGCCAGAAUUGUAGUGCACCAUCUGCAUUCAAAGAUCACAUUGAUAACAUUAGAGUUUGUUCAGAGUUGGAGCUUUUAUCUAGAGAUCUUGAACAUAAGUGAAGGGCCUUAUAAACAAUGGUGCUGUAAAAAAAAAAUACAAGCACUGCAAACUACACUUAAAAGCUUACUGGUGGUUCGUUAGGAUACUCUGGAGGGAAACAUAUAUCAAAGAAGAACAACCCGUCAUGAUACGGAGUUCCAGAUGCACCAACAAUUACUGCUCGCAUGAGAUCCAUUCUUUCUUCAAACACACGAACAUAAAUAGAGUCUGUUUGGGUCAAUAGAGAUUGCAAUGAGGAAAAUGCUCCUGAAAUGGAAGUUCCACCAAGUGUUUGGAAUAUGCUGGAUUUAACACUGGAGAAAAGUUCAAAGGCCACUCGUGGAAGGAAAAAGGAACUACACUCAAGAUUCUGUUCAUAAUUCUCUUUUCUACCAUCACCAUUUAACAAGUCCUGAAAAUUAAACAUCACGUUCAGUUUAUACUGGGCAGAUGCAUUUGAUAUUCAGUAUCUCCGGAAGAUUAUCUCAACUACUGAAACCAGAGAUCUGAUGCCAAAGAAGAUUUGCCCGCCAGGAUAAUAGGAAUCAAUCAAGGACUCCAAAGUGCCAAAGGAGAUAUGCCCAAUUGCGAAUGAAAUAUUUCACAGAACGAAACACUUCAAACAACAAAUAUAAACCAGCUAGUAGCUAAAAUUAUGAGAUGAUUUUUCUGU
rnacentral:lncRNA from 1 species